rnacentral:rRNA from 1 species
UACGGAGGGAGCGUAGCGUUAUUCGGAAUUACUGGGCGUAAAGCGCAACGUAGGCGGCUUUGUAAGUAAGAGGUGAAAGCCUGGGAGCUACAACUCCAGAAUUGCCUUUUAGACUGUCAUCGCUUGAAUCAUGGAGAGGUGAGUGGAAUUCCGAGUGUAGAGGUGAAAUUCGUAGAUAUUCGCAAGAACACCAGUGGCGAAGG